UCCAAUAAAAAAGUUUAUAACUUUCAUGCAAAAUCAUCUCAAAUAAAAUUUCUUAUACUAAAUAAUGAUGUUGUUUUCUGUUUAUAACAAAUUCUUAGAGAUAUGAUAAUAUUUUAAUUGCACCACCCUGUAUUUAUAAUUUUUUCAUUGGAUAAAAGACGCUGUGCUGUGAACUGAUUGGUAAGCAACUUGUCCAGGUCUGUAUUACAAUAUUUAAUUGUCAGAAUCAGUGAAUCAUAAAUUAAGAUAAACAACAACAUUAUACAUAAUUCACAUAAUUCCAGAUACUUUUUCUAUAAUUAUCAUGGUUAGGUAAGUACACACAGUACACAGUUAGUAGUUGUAUUAAAUUAUUCUUAAGUUUGAUACACAACAGAAUCAACUAUCAACCAGUCGAUAUGCAUAUUCUGUAAACGUCCUACAAGAUUGGUACAGAGAAAGGCCAAGCAGUUGAAAACAGUCGGCAACAUCUAUCAACCGAUAUUCAAAAACUGAUUUUAACUGACUUUCUAGUCGAUCAAUGUUCAAAAGAGAUGCUAUCAAGGAAACAAAGUUUAUGACAAACUCUUCCCUGACUACAAUCUACAAAAUUGCGAAACUAGGUGUGAAAACGAGAUGAGGAAGGAAUAUUCCAGGAAUUUUUAAGAAAAUGGAAUGUGAUUGCUUAAUUUUAUUAUGCGAAACAAUCUACAGUAUGUCCGCAUUAAACAUAACCUCAAAUCUUCAAGGUUUAAUAGAUCUCUGAUUUAAGGAUUAUAGUUUAAUUACAUCAAAUUCAAUUAGAAAUGUGGAUUCAAUACAAAAUUAACAACAACUUUAAAUUCAACGUUUCUUCCAGGUGAAACGUUUUUCAUCGAUUACAUUCAUAAUUGUUUGGCAAAACUAUAAUGGUUUAACAGAACCAGAACAUUAAUGCUAGGUGUAAUUGCACUCUAUAAGGAUAACAUUCAUUUUUCAAAUAACCUCCUCAGAGAUCUCUCACUAGUAUCGUUAUCUAUUUUGAGUUUUGGAAUCGAGUUAUUAUUCCUACAUAACAUCACAUCCUUCUAUAACUAGGAAUAAUUUUCACACUGCCAGUUGAACUGACUCCUGAAAUUGUUAGACAGUAUGGACUUCACUCAAUUCCGACGAAUAUUUUUCUGCAUAUUGCGAUAAUAGGAUAUUAAUUUCAUGUGAAGAAACCGUAAUCUCUAAGUUAUAAACCCUCUAAACCUGAAAUCAAUAAAUUCAGCAAUAUCAUAUCUCCUGAAAAUAUAUGAAUGUACUGCAAAUACCACUACAGAGAAUGGAAAAUAUACAAAAAAAUUUAAGUAAGACAAUCUCCCAUAAAGUCAUAGUUGAAUAGUCAGCUCAUUUUGUAUAGGAUCAUCAACGAUAUUAUAAAAUGUUGUUUCCAAGCAUUGACAAGAAAAAUAGUGAAAUGAAAUAUGAAAGAAGAAGAGUUGAGGGAAUUCGACGAAAUAGUCUUCGCUCCAAAUUAUUCUGAUAAAUUGAUGCAAUGUGUACAUAUAGAAAUAAAUAUAGAAUAGAACAAAUACAAAAUUUUGUUUCUAUGUUUAUUGCUGAUUGGUGAUAUAUAUUUAAAAGUGAAAAAAGUUUGGGUCUAUUUGUGCAUACGCUAAAUAACAAAUAGACAAAGAAAUUAGUUACUUUGGAAAAAAAAUAUUCAAAAAUGAGAAGACCAGUGAGAAUAUGGAAAAAAUGAUUAAUUGGAUUGGGAUACAGAGAAGAGUAGUGGAAGGAAGAAAGUUUCGAGAGAUACAAAUCGGAGCUAGUAAUUCAACUUAAAUGUAAUUAAAGAAAGAAACUGAGAGGUUAUCAUUACUUAUUUCAGAAUUUAUUGAAAAAAUAGUGAAUUAUUUCCACAUUUCAGUUGCUAUAUGAUAAAGUUAUUCAUGAUAAAAAUGCGUGAAAGUACUUAACCUGAAAGUAUCAUAAAAUAUUUCAUAUACGACCAUAUUAAAAAAUACUUUUGUUGUAAACAGUAUUAUUAUUUAAAUUUGUAGUAGUUUUCAACACUUGAUGAUGGGAGAAUAACUUUGAUGAUUUCCAUUGACAUUGGCUCGAAUUUUCCGAGAAAUAUGUAAUUUUUUUCAUACUGUACUGUAAAGUCGACUUUACAGUACUAAUUUGAGUUCGGAAAAUGGCACUUUACGGUAUCCUUGUACUUUACAGAACCAGUCGCAAAACGUCGCAUAUUAUUUUUAGUACCUUCUCGAAGACUUGAUUGGAAUAAUUUUACCUACUGCUUCCGCACUUUUCGUAGCAAUUUUAUUUGAAUUAUCAGGGAUUCUUUCGGAAAUUAUUUUUGUAUUUCUGAACAUUCAAUAUGUCUACCUGUUUUCCACUAAAAUUGUCAAAUAUGAUAUUUUAAAUUUAAUAUAAUUCUGCUUUUUGUUCAAAAACCGAAGACAAUAUAAAAAAACAUAUUACGAUAUACGUCCGUAAAGUUAUUAUAAGGUACUCAAAUAUUUUUGACUAGGCUCAUUCGUCGCCUCGUCGUCGAAUAUCUAUCUCAUACCAUACUAAAUCACUUCCUGGACUUAAAACGUAAAUAAUUAUUCCCGUAUUCUUGACUUUUCUGGAAGCACGUUUCGAGUUAGGUUGCACGAAAUUUCUUCAAUUUCAGGAGGAGUGCAAUAAAAUUCUUCAUCCAUGUUUAUUUAUCUUUACCAUCAGUGUUUUAUCAAUCAAAAUGACGGUGACGUUUCACACUUGUUAUAAAAUCUUUAUAGAACUCUCGUUUGGUUAUUAAUAUUUUAUUAUUGCGUGUCAGAGUUUUCAUAGUUUUCGUUAUAUAAUAUUUAUAGUAACUAUAAACCUCCUCAUGAUAGAAAUCUUUGCAUGACACUCUAAACUUAAACUUGUGACCUACGUCCCGUAGCCAAAUUAAAUCAAGUUAAAUUCAAGUUACGCAAGCCUUUAUAAAUACGUUUCACUUAAACUAAAUAAUGGUUAGAAUAAGCCAAAUCAAGCAAUUUAAUUGAAGUAUUAAGAGUGGAACCAAAAAAGUAUCUUUUGAAUUCACCUCAAACGUAAAAAUAUACUCAUAUCAGUAUUCGGCAGUGAACGCAAAAAUUAAUACAAGAACUUUUGACAAAAAACACAACUUUAUAAAUUUUAUAAAUAAAAAAAGUGUUGUAAUUAUUAUCCCAUUUAAAAAGCAUCUUGAAUAUUUAAUAAUAAUUCUUGUUUUUGUACGCCUUUAGACAUAUGUAUAGUAUAUAAUUUCACGUAUUUAGUUUACGGUGAAACACCAAAAUCUAGAGAAUGUCGACUUCACUGGUGGAUGUCAACAUUCACAAUCCACUUAGUCACCAGUCCGAAAUAUGUGCUACAUACCCUCAUUUCUGACUCACACCGGUAAAUGUCAGCAUUCACCAUGCACUAAUGGUGAAUUUUGAAUAUGUUGGAGAUUGGAAUAAUCAAGAAUUUAGAAUACACAGUACAUUCUACACGAGAAAAGGAAAUGUUAGUAAUGAAACAAUUACUUCCUUAUGUUAUCAAAAUCUUAUUCAUUGCUACAACUUGAACUAUUAUUACAUUUUGAAUUGCACAAGCUUUUACAACUGCAUCCUUUUGCAAUCACAGCGUAUAGUCUUGUCCCUGCUUCUCUUAUCAGCUUCAGCUGCUUCUUUCAGUCGGAGUCUUCUAUUCCAAUAACAACAUUUCGGCUAACUGUAAAACCACUGUCGCCAUCUUGUAUUCGGACAUUUUUACCAAUUGCUUUUGUGAGAUUCGUAUCCUUUUUUUUGCAGUAGAAUAUUUUCUUUUUAUUUUUCAAUCAGAAUUUGAUCUGAAGAUGUUGUGGGUGGUAGGUGCUCCUCAAUGUUUUUCUUUGGAAUAUCAUUUUUGGUAUGAUCACCAGUCAAAUUUUUCUUAGCAAUUUCUUCAAGAUGUUUUUCGAUUUCAAAAGUAUCGCUAACUUCCUCGAAUUGAUCUUCAGUUUCAAUAUUUGCAAUAUAUUCGCCUGGAUAGAAGAUGAUACUUUGUAUCUUUUUGCUUUAAUAGCAGACUUGGGUUCAUAAGGACUUGGGCUUAUGCGAUCCUCUUGGAAAAUGAAACAAAUGAUAAACCAUCAGAGAAGGCUGUCUAUAAACUAUUUUGCACAUAUUUUGGAAAUGACGUGAUUAUUAAAUUCUCUACUAUUAUUUGAUUGCAAUAUUACUGGUGCACCAAAUGCUACAAAUAUUGCAAUGACUUUAUGCGCUCCUUCUUUAGCUCUUUUAAUUUUCAAAGAUCGUAGCUAGACAAACUGAAAUAAUCUUGAUACACCAUUAUCCGAAAUGAAAAUAUACGACGAAGACAUCAGAGAUAAUAAAGACUAAACAACUGCUUUUGUACGCAGAACAGGUAGCUGAAGAAAGCAUUGAUGUGUCAAUCGCAGAAUAGAAGAAGACGAGGAAGGCCCUAAAGGACCUAAAAGGAAAUGAUUGAACAGACCAUGAAAGAAAGAGCUGGCCAGGAAAACGAGUUGAUAGAUAGAAAGUUGUGGCGUACGAAUAUAUUAAUACCAGGACAUCUAUUAGAACUUUUUCGCAUUUAUAUAACUAUUACAUAGUUUUAAGGUUAAAUUGUUAAGAGUUCUAAAAAAUAUUUCUCGUUGUUGUUGUUAUAGUAGUGAUCUAAUACACAUAUUAUAUAUUAGAUGUUGUAAAACUAAAAUAAAAAGAAGAAAAAAUCGAACGGCUGUCUACGGUGCAGUUUUCAGUUCGUUCACAUAAAAAUUUUAAUGUCUACACUUACUGAUACUUUUAAGCACAAGUUAAGUAUGUUGUUUAAAUAUAGAUUUAGUAUGCUUUAGAUCAUAAGUAAUAUACGAAAAGGUUCUUAAGAAUCUCGUAAUAUAAGACAAAUUUUUAUAAACUGAGAUAGUAUCGCGUGAGUUGAAAAUUUUGUAUUUUUAAUGUGACAUGUAUUUGAAAUUACUUUCCUGGCGAAUUUUUUUUCUUUUGAAAGCUCAUAUUAUAGGUGAAUAAAGUCUUGUAGUACGUUGACUGCUACUGCUCUAAUUAUUUUUGUAUAGACAUGGGAUAUAUAGCAAGCACUCUCCUAUUUAAAAGGUCAGAGUAUAAAUUUGAAAAUAUACUUCGGUCCGUAAUUGUGUUCCUAACUGCGUUAUUAGAUAUUAUUUACAAUUCUGUCUAGAUGGAUACGUGAUCAACGAAGUGGGAAACUGGAGGCUUUUUUGGGCACAUUUCCCUCAAUGUUUAGGACUCAGUAAUAAACAAGAACACAGACCAAUCAUAUAAUUUGAACUUAAGCGAAAUGUCUUCUGAACUUAGUACUACAGAAGGACGAAUUUACAAAGCAACAAUGACUUAUACAUAAGAAACAAGGCCAGAAGUACCUCUUGAAGAUCAUAGAGAUACAAAGUCUCAGGUGGAAAUUGGGAAAAACACUAUUAUAUCACGAAAGAACCGAAAAAAACAGACGUUCAUGGGACAGAUAACAUUAAAGAAUAGAUAUCACAGCGUAAGCAAUAAAGGUACCAACAUUUGUAUCGAAUGACCGAGAUAUACUGGGGAUAGACAAGGGAUAAAUUUCUAAUUGGAACACGAAGUAGACAAAAGAAGCGAUAGACAUAUUAUAGAAAAAAAAAAACAAGAAUUCUCAAUCUAUGUUUCUUAUGGACCAGUUUCUGUGCCAACUUGAGGCAAGUAUUCUAAGUAUCCCUUGAAUUGAUCUAAAUAUAGUGGAGUUGUUUCUUCCUUAUUGAGUUUACACUCAUACUUUGGAGCUGACAUGCUUCUGCUAUUGAACUCUAAAACAACUGUUGCGAUAGUGAUUCAUAAGAAUCUUAAUAUUUUGAAAUUAACAAGAAAAUUUGUAUUAUUUAUUUCGACAAAAGAAAUAUGUUUCUAAAAAAAAUUAACGUAAUUAAUUUCUAAGUCUACAGUAUUGAAUUCCUUUACUAAGCCCUAGAAAAUAGAAUACCAUCUAGUAUUAAUAGAUUUAUCAAAUAUAAUUUCUACGAAUACAUUUGUUCAAAUCAAAUCUAGCCUAGCCCAACCUACCAAUAUCAAACAUCAUUAUGAUGAAAAGAUGAAAGAAGACGUUGGUAUGUUGCUUUGAAAUGUAGUGGAGUGGCUCCUUUAGAGGUGUCAAGACCAGUACUGUUUUAUGAAUCGCGUUAGCCGGAAAUAUACAGAUGGAUAAGAUUGGAGAUGAGAGUAUCUCGUCUUCCGUCAAGCUUUUGCCUGAUAAAAUGAGUAUCACUAGGUUAUAGACAAACCUCCAAUAACUUGAAACCUUUACUUUACGAGAACCUAGUUCAGCAUAAAAUUAUAAUCAAAAGGUUUUUUUCUGAAAUGAGGAUUAGCAAUAAGAAUGAAGUUGUGGCUAUAGCUAGGAAAUUGUGUGAAAUGGGUCUGGAAGGCGAGAUCGAGACAGGUGAAUAGAGUUGAAAUCAAACGAUUCAUAUCUUCUUCUUUGGGUGCCCUCUUCUAAGGAAGGUUAGCGAUAACCACAGCAAAGUCAUUUCUGUCUCUGGACCUUCUUAUCAUCGUCUGAGAGUCUAAACCGGUUCACUUGCGAAUAUUCUUCAACCUGUCGUCUGCCAGGACCACGUUUUACCUCAUUUUUCCCCUCGAUCAGAAGUUGCAAAAGUCUCAUUUCUAUAUAUGUGUCCCAGAUACGAGGUUUUUCGAUGUUUUAUUAAUUCUGUUAAAUUUCCCUAUCGGUGUUUAUUCUUUGCGUUACUGAUAUCAGCAUUCCAGGGAAUUCUCAGCAUCCUCCGGAAGAUCCAUAUUUCGAAACUCUCUUGGUGAGUUCACCUUAAAGGUCCCACCCUCCGUUCUGUAUAAUGAGGUGCUGUAUACAUAGCAUUUCACCAUCCAGUACCGGAUUUUAAAGUCGAGUGCUCGGGAUGUAAACAAUUGCCUCAUUUUUAGAAAGACAUUUCUUGCUUGCUCUAUGCGUGAUCUUAUUUCAAUAUCUGGGUCUAUAUCUUUUGUUAUCUAACACCCCAAAUAUUUAAAUUCAUCGACAUUUUCGAUUAUGCCACCAUUUACGUUGAUAGACAGGGAAGGAUGGACAUGGAGACAAUCAUGGUUUUGGACUGUUGAUGAUCUAAUAGUGCUUAGAGAUCCUGUUAUUAAGAAUUUUUCCAUUGAUUUUAACACCUUCUCUUGCUCCAUCCAAUGCUCUGGCAAAGACUUCUUCUGAAUAUAUAUAGAAGGAUAGAGAGGAUAACAUGCAACCCUGUCGCACGCCUCUUUUGAUGGUAUAUGGUUCUGGGUCGCCAGUUGCAGCUCUCACCACUGCAGUUUGGUUAGCAUGAAGCGCCUGUAUGAUUUUGAGGACAUUCUCGUCUAGACACUUCCUGGAAAGGUAGUCCAUCAGCUUAUCAUGUCUUACUUUGUCGAAAGCCUUUUCGUAAUGAAUAAAACAUAAAAAGAGGUCCUUUUGCUGGUUUCGGCAUUUUUGUAAAAGUAUUAUGAAACUGAUCAAAGAUUUAUAUGCGAGGAAGAAUCUUUGUAGUGGUACAAUUGCUUCUAGAACGUGUAAAAAGAAUAUAUACUGGCAGAUUUCACUAGGGAUUACAAAGAAAGAAGUCGUAUUUAUCAGUUAGUUUUCUGCAAUUAAUUCCUACAUGAAAGAAAUACUGUUAUCCAAUAUUUUCUGUAUGUAGAAAGACAAUUAUCUAAGUUUUUAUACAAAUUUGCAGCUUUUGCAGUCAUUUCGAUUGAGUUCUUCUGUUAGAGGACAUCAUUAUCAUCAUUGCUGCUAGUUCACAGUGGUAUUAAUCUUCUACAAGUCUCCAAAGAAUAGAGAGACUCACCACAAUUUAAAAAAUGUGGUAGCAUAGAUAAUGGUUAUUUUAGAUUCUAGAAGUCAAUGUAAUUGAAAACUAAGUACAUAUUCAACUGUAUCAAAAAUUAGUUAUACAACUUAUCUGUAUUGAGUAGAUUGUGAUGAAAACUGGUAUAAUCUCUAUAUUUUUUGUUUGGAUAGUCAAACUUCUAAAAAUUCACAACAUUUGAUUUAUUCAUAAUAUAUUUUAUUUUCUCUCAUUUAUCCAUUUCCAUUCAGUGAUGUCUGCUCCUCGCCAAUUAUUAGGAAUCCACAAUUUUCCUUUGUUGAUGAAGACUGCAUUAUGAUCAAAUUGAUACUCCUGAUAUCUGUUUUUUUCAUAAACAUUAAAAGUAAAUGUGAGUCUGAAUGAUCUAAAUAGGUAUUAGAAUUGAAGUCAUCCAAAACCAUUCCAAAAUCACGUUUGAAACAUAAUUCAUUAUCAGCAGCGAAGUUGUUUCCAUCAUUAAAUUCUUUUCGUUACUCUGCUUUGUUUCUAUAUGUUUGUAAGUCACCCUGUAAUAUUAAAACACUUUUGCUUUACAUUUAGAUUUAACUAAAGUCUUUUUCGAAUUUGAAACACUUACUGAAAAUGGAUCUAAUCUUUGUUUCUUAUAUUCUAUUUGAACUAGAAAAACUCACCUCAACUACAAAGAUCAAUUUCAAUGAUCACGAUGAGUUUUUGCACAAAUACAUACUUUUGAGGCUCCAUAUUGAAUCUUCUGAAUAUUAUAAUUAAUAUAUAUGUUUUGCUUAGGAAUUAUUCUACUUCAAAACUGAUGUUAUUUUUGAAUUAAAUUUCCAAGUCAACAUUCAGCAAAAAAAAUCGAAAUAAAGCAAACGAUCCACAGUGAAGUUUGAAAUUUAAUUUAAAAUAUAAAUAUUCUAGUUAUGUGAGGAAAAAUUAUUGAUUAAAAGGAAAAUUUUUAAUUGAUAUGAUAUUUACAGCAAGAAUUAUAGAAGUAGAUGAAACUAUAAUAAUAUUUGUAAGACUGAAUAAUUUCCAUUUGAACUCAGCCGUUGAGAUACAAGAGAUAUAAAAUGAAGCUUUCAUAAACCAAAAAGUGGUAGUACAAAUAAAAAAACCUUAAAGCGAACGGUAUAAUUAGUUUUGAUUUUGUUUUCCCAUUGAAAUUUUGAUAAAUCCUAAAGAAUCUAACAAUAUUUGUGAACAAAUUACUUCAGAAAAAAAGUUGCUGCAUUUGGAGAACGGUAAAUUUACAAAAAUCAGUUACUACAUCAUUAUAAAUUCAAAAGAGCCAACUCGAAAAGGAAUAUUUACCGGAUGUUCCAAGUUAUCGUAUAUCGACUAUAUUUCAACAAAAUAAAUGAAAAAUUUCUUCCUUAAUGUACAUUUUUAAUAGCUUCUAAUAUAGUAACAGCCACCCUUUUUAUUAUAAAGAGUAUCCUUUAUAUUAUACAUAAUUGGACAAAUCCGUCACCACUUCUGGCAUGCAAAAUGAUGAUCCGUUACGUCUGUCUUACCUCAAUUUUCUGAUUUGGUUAUUUUAGUCAAUAAGAAGGUUACGUUCUAAAAGAUUAACUAAUCGAGAAUUUCGCACUAGAAACAAAUUAUUAGUAAAUAAUGCUCAAGCGUUGAUUAACGUUAUUGGGAAAUAUCUCUUUCUAGCAAAGUUUUUCCAUACUAUAUUGUACAGUAGCGAUACCAUAUUGUUUUUAUGCAUCGUACAUGGUAUUUUCAUCUUGAGUUCCUAUUUUGCACUGUUGAAAUUGGUACUUUGGUCAGUUCACUGAUUUUUCUUUUCAUUGGAUUAUAAAAUCGUUUCACCUUGAUACACGUUGUUUAAUUUUCUUUAGGAUUAGGCGACUAGUAAUGCCUUUUCUUCAAGUAUUGGACGAGGACCUAAAUUUUCAGGAGUCGGGAGUUCUGAAAUAUCUUCCCUCUGUCGAUGUAUCAUUGAAAUGAAAAAGUUUUACAAAUACACAAUAGAAACUUCGAUGUUUAAAUUCAAAUUGAAGAAAUUAAAAAAGCUUCUAUACUGGAAAUUUAUAGGCUAUUUUGCAAAAAUUCAUUUACGUAAAAACAAAAAUCCCUCAUAAUAACAGACUCUCUUAUGUUCAUUUGGUGAGAAAACGGAGAUCUUGAGAGUCAAAAGAUUAAGAGUUAUAGCUUUCGACUCUUGCCUCUCUCAUCCUUACAUUCCCAUAUAUGUUUGAGGAGAGCUGAAAUUUAAUGCUGGACUACAGGAUUCUAUUUCUAAUUCCUCGUCAUUCUUAAUUCAACUGAUUUCAACGAUGCACUAGAGUUAAAGUUCCUACACAUCUGGAAACAUUUCGCAUUUCUAAGGUCCUUACUUGAUCUACAGACCACUGCGAGUGCCCUUAUCCGAUCUCUUAAAGACAAUAAACGAUCUUUACUCUGUGUUGCCCUGUCUUAGAGUCAACGUAUAAUUAGUCAUUAUAGGAGAUUGACCUCGAAAAAUCACAUACUCAGUAUAUUAUACCACGUUAAGACCUGUAUCUUGACAUCCUAGAAUUAUCCUCAAAGUUCACGUAUAACUGGAUGGUCGAUAAAAUUUAACUAUUUUCCUCAACAAUUUCUUAAUUACAUGGACAGGUAAGUGUUAUUGAAUAAAUUGACACUUAAUUAAAAAUAGAUAAGUAAUCAAUAAGAAAUGUUGAUGAAAAAUGAUAAUUAUACAUUAAGCAAUAAAUUAUAACCUUAAUAUUACGAAUUUUCCAUCAAGAUCAACAGUUGACCUCAAAUAAUUCUCUGAUCGCGCGCUUUACGCCCUCUAUCUCGAAAACAGUUGGAGCUAUACAAAAAUAUUAAACAGAAAAGCUGUGGAGAAUUGAAUUCUCUACAAUAUUGAUGAGAAAUACUAUUAGUGUAAAACCCAUAGAAAACGAGAUAUUUGCAAAAAAUUUAAAAAAAAAUUUUUUGUGACCUUUGACAGCUUUUAAAACUUGCGAACAUUUAUAUGUAAAUUUUGAGAAUAGUUUUAGGGUGCCACGAUACAAGUUUUUACGCGAUAAUAUACUGGGUAUGUCAAUUUUCCGAGAUAUCCACCUAAUUUUGUCCAAGAUGAAUGGACUAAAUUAGAUCCACACUGUUAUUCUUCAACCAGUUUCUUGGAACGAUAGCCCAACUAGAAGACCACUAAUUCGACAUCUACUAAACUCAGUUGAUUUUAGUUGGUUCGCACUCCAGAUAUAAUAAGAGCCAUUGAAUUGUUAUAAUAAAUUUUUUCUCGUAAAAACAAAUUUUAAACUAUGAAAAUUGAAUUUUCUCGAAACUCAUCGAUAAGACUCAAAAAGUGAUAUGAAUUUCGAACUCUCCAUAAGAAAGUUCAUGUGGUUUUUUGAAUACUUUGACGAAUACCUAGAAUUUUCCAAGAUUAUGAAAGUGGAAAAAAAUUUUACCUCUGAUUCCGGUGAAAUCACACACAAAGGGAUAUUUUGCUAGUGCUAGUGCUAGUGCUAGUUGGUAUUAUUCUCACUCAACUAUGAAAGAUUAUGAUUUAAGAAGAUGAAAAACUGAUAUUUGUAUGGAUACCGUACUUGCAACUUUGCUCACUUCUUAUAAACUGAAUGUAUGCGGUCUUUAUAAAAUCAGGCUUAAUAUAUAAUAAAAAUAUAUGCGUUGAAUUUGUUAUAUUGUAAAAUUGUAGAAUGAUCGUUGUUGCGCUUAUGAAAAAAAAUUGUAUAAAUAUUAAAGAUGGCCUCUUAAAAAGACACGUAGCCUUGGCGAGACUAUUGAAAACCCCUUUUGAAUUAUGGACAUAUGUUAAAACAAAAGAAUUGAAUAAUCUUGCUGUAUUUAAAAAAUAUUUUUAUACGUGGUUUUAUCUGUUAAUUUUGAAUAAAGGCGAGAUUUUUUCAUUCGAAAACCUCAGGAGAAUUCCACAAAUCAAUUGAAUCACUGAAAAUAUGAGAGAAUUCAUAAAAUGUUCUGUCUUAAAUGAUUUACAAACAGAUGUAAAAGAAAAUGUUGGAUAUGAAAGUUGGUAGUUAUGAAUUUUCUCAAAAUGAUGGAAUGCAAAUUCAUUUCGUCGAACGAGACACCUGAUAUAUGUUCAAAUCAUUUGAUAGUUUUUUUUUUCCUUUUUACUGACAAAACCUUAAGUUUUAACAGAAAAUGAGCUAGUAUUGCAUCUAAAAAAAAUUAAGACCAUCAACUAAACAUUUUUCCAAAAUUACCAUUGUUGAUAAAAAUUAAAAACUAUGUGCAAAUACAUAAAUAUACAAGGUGUUUCGUUCCAAGAUUAUAGACAAAUAAAAAAGAUAAUACUUGACGAUGAAAUUACCGAUAGAACAACAAGGGAGUGUCAACUUCAAAGUAUAAACAAUCAAAGAAAGGAACAUCUCGUACAGCAUAGCUGAUAAAUGGUUAAACGUUAAACUCUGGAAGCAACUAAAUUGGAUUUUAUAGAGACGAGCAGCGUUGAGAUUCGAAAGAAAAUAAAUAUAAAUUAUAGGAAUACCAGAAAUAGAAUAUGAUAUUGAUAAUACUAAUGUAGUAGAAACAUAAAAUAAAAAUAUAACCAGUAAUUCUAAGGCAAAAAUGGAAAUUGAAAAAGAGGAAGAAGGCUUGAGGAUGAUUCGUGGAGUAAUAUAAGAGAAGAUGAACUUUUUUAAUGAGUCAAUUUACUCAUAAGUAGGAAUGAAUUAUCUAUUUAGUAUAGUUCUGUAUAGGAGAUAUCAUACACUGCUUAGUAAAAAGCAGUUGUAUUAGAUCAAGUCAAGUGGUCCCUCGAUUUUCCACUAGAUCAUAGAAAUUUGAAUUAUUAACUUUUUUCAUAAGUACCCCAAAAGAUUUUGAAGAAUUUUGAUUUUUUUUCUUUGAACAUUGAUUAAAAAUCAACAGUUAACGAUAAAUCAAUGAAACUUUCAGGAUUAUAGUUAGAUAGCAAUAUUUUAAUAAAACAUUAAUGACUUGAAAUUAUUUGUUCAUUUCCUUGUUGUUAAUAUACUUUUGAAUAAGCAAAUGAUCACUUUUUCGGUACAGAAUGGAGUUUUUGAUUGGUUUUUCAUUUACGUUUAUUAUUGCGAAAGAAAAUUUCACAGCUCGUUAUUAAUUUAAAUGCAAUGAAUUUAUUUAUUACAUGGCGUACACCUUGCAGUCGAGUGCGUCAGACUAUAAUGCAACUUCUCUUAAAUAUAAUUAAAAAUUACAAUUAAAAUAGUAUAUUACGUAACAAGAGUUGUGAGUAACCCAUUACGCACGAAGUGAAAAAUUUUAUGAGUGCGUAAUGGGCACACAACUCGUGUAACGUACUAUACUUUAUCUACGCCCAUUCAUAGCAUGCUACUAAAGAAAACGUGUCCUAUUUUUAAAGAAAUUGCAUAAUGUGCUGCCUACAUUUAGGGGCACCACUCUUUAGAUCAAAUAAAGUCUUAAGUAAAUAUAAAUUUGAUUGAACCAAGAAGUUUAAAAAUUUUCUUCUCAAAACGCACAUGUAUGUUAUGAGAUCUCAUCACGUGCAUGUUAUUGUUAAUUGUCAUUUACAAGGAUUGUUGACAGUACGAUUUUUGACGUUUACAGACAGGCGUAGAAAAAUAAUAUUAUUCAACAUAUUUGAUUAAAAAAAAGGAUUAGACACAAUUCAUAUAAUAAACUUGGGCACUGUAUGGCAGUAUUCAAUAUUACUGCCUUUUGGAUGUCGGUGAAGUGUUUUUUGGUAAUUCCGGCUAUCGUGCAGAGUCUUAAGCACGACAACGGUUGCUGACAAAAUAACUGGGACUUUUCUACAUUUUUGCUGUAUCACAUCUGUUUAAUCUCAUUUAUGAGAUCCGCGUAUUUGCCCGUCAGUUUCUCCUGGUGUUUGUUGAGAACGUUAUGAGGGUUAGGUAUAGCUACAUCGGGGAGAAGGACUCAAUCGAUUCUUCUAUCAACCACCACGAUGUCAGGGCUGUUAUUCGUCACCUGUCUAUCGAGCACCUUUUCUGGCUGGUUCUUGUAAUACGGUGCAUAAAUAUUGAGGAGACCAAACUUGUUGACCAGUUUCUGGUGGAUAAUGUUGCACUCUUGGUUAUUCCGGUGUAGAUAGAUGGUAUUAGCUAACACACUAUAAACAAAUUUCGUAUGGUGAAUGGACUCUGAUGUUUUCUGACAUUUUUCUUGUAGUUAUUCGUAUUAAAAACUUAAUCUUGGAUAGUCAUCAUGAAGCCUUCGGUCUCUGGAAAGAGAUUUCCGUUAGUGAGCCAUCUGUUUGAAGUUUCUUUGUCAACAUGCGGUUGGUUGAAGUCGUGGUGAAGUCUACCGUAUAAUGUUUUUCGUAACCAUUGUUCCAGCUUCUCGGCGUCAAAUUCAAGUCAUAUUCUGGCGAUGUGAGAUUGGGGGGUGAGUAAUCCUUAUCCUCAUUGGAUAUAAUAUGAUGUAGGGUUGAGGUUUUUCAUUUCCUAUGAAAGAAUUCAAGUAGUUUCAUUACCUGUCGAGAUUGUAGGUUGAGAAAGUUAACCAAGUCUCUUUUUGAGGUAAUAUUGUACUAAUAGUGCAUAAUUUCGGGUAGUGCUCUGAAUACUCUGUUUUGUCCACUUCAGGUUUCCAAAAGAGUACGUUAACACAGGUGUGCCAUAAGUGUUGAUUGCCAUUACCAAGCUACAUGCAUUUGAUUCGGACUUGUCGUCCAGUAACUUGUUGAAAUCCUAUGCAUUUGUAGCUUUCUCCGUUUUCCAUCGCCUGUAUGAUGUGUCCGUUAGGAAGUUGCACAUUUCCAGUCAUGAAAAUCCCUUUCUCGAUAUGUAUCGAUGUGUUAUAUCAAGAAGGUGAUUGAUUUUAUGCUUAUUUGCUGCGUAUAGCUUGAUAUCGUCUUUGUAAAGAAGAUGGUAGAUUGUGCAGAUGUAUCUCUGUUAGAUUUAAUGUUGAAUCCAUGUCAUUGAGCAUGGUAGAUAGGAAAUAUAUUACAGGGCAGAACCACAACGGACUUAAGGAGUCACUCUUGUAUAUUCCCUCGUAUUUUUUACCUCUCGUAAAUUUUAUUAAACAGUGUACUUCUAUAUUUAUUUUUUACUGAUAUCUCAGUGAAUUUUCUCUUUAAAAUUUCCUAGAAAAUACCCAAAUUUUAGUUGAGAAAAAAAACCGCUGGGUCACGAUUUUCAUUUCUUCUUCGUUUUUUUUGUGUUUCUCUGAUAAAAUAACAAAAGAAUUUUAGUAGUUGUUCCAAUUUAUUCGUAAAUUUGGUACACAGGCAAAAGAGUUGAAUAAUUAUUAAAAACGAUAACUUAGAUUCUGUUCCUUUUUGUUCUAUUUAUUAUUCUAUUAAUAUUACAAUUAUUAUUUAUAUCAAUUAUACUUAUUGUUAUCAUUUUUAAUUAUGUUUAAGAGAAGUCUGAGGCAUUCGGCGCGGUGUGAUAAAUAAAUUCAUUCAUUUAACAAUAAAUCCUAAAAGUUUUUCAAUUAGAAGUAGUAAAAAUUCUCAUUUUAAAAAAUUAUUGUUGAAAUCAAAAUGUAGAAAAAUCGUUCGGGAAAUGAGGAGACCACUUUACGUGAUCUUGCUGGGCUGUUUUAAAGAAAAAAAUAAACACGACUAAGUAAUUUUUGUCACAGUAUAUUUUUUGCUCGUAUCAACUAUUCGAAACAUUUCAAUAAAUUACAAAAUGUUUACGUUCUAUAUUAGAUCAAAUAAAAAUUAAUGCUAACACUGUAAAUAUUCAAAGCGAAAUAAGAACUGAGUGGAAACUUUGAGUUUCUUUUCUUUUUUAUAUGAAAUAUUCAAAGUUUUCUGAUAUGUCCUUCUAUUUUAUUAUGCCAACCGAUCUCGCCCAGACUAAGUAUGUAGUAACCAAUAAAUGUAUAAAUGGGGCUCUAGCUUUUUUAGUGGGGCUCUGAUUGUCUAAUACUCUUAACGGUCAGUGCAGAAUUUUUUCAGGCUAAUUAUAUCUUCUGCCCUGUAUAGAAUAAUAAUUAAACUAUAUAUACAACGGUAUUUUCUUAUUUCAAAAACUUUUUGGCAUACAUGGACCAUAAAAGUUUUCAAACCUUUGUAAGAGCAGUAAAAUAAUUUUGAUAAUGAACAGUACAUUUCGCAUCCAUUUACCAAAAAAAAAACUCAUUUUCAUUAAAUUAGAAUUCAAUUUCAACCCAAAAAAAAUUAUAUGAAUAAUAAUGAUACAAUUAAAAAAAUUUAUGAUAUCUAAAUUUGUUUAUCAUUGAUUUAAGGAAUGUUCGCGGCAAUUUUCUAUGUAUAAUUUAUAGAAUUCUCCAAAUAUUUCAUUGGCAAUUAUAUUGAGAUUCCAUGCUGUUUAGUUCACAGUAAAUCAGCUUUAAAGGCCGCUUGACAUUGUUGCGAGACAACGUGCAAGAAAUUGCAUCGCUGUCACAAAUUAUAUCUGCUGCUGUUUUACUUUUUGAUGGACAGGUUGAUUGGUAAGCCAAAACUAAGUAGAUUUCUUCCUAGAAUUGCAGCUUGCACACAAUAAAAAUGACACCAUCCGAUAAUGUUGCAAGUGCUGGAUCUUACAUGAAACAAUCAGUUAAAUUUCACCCGCGCAUCCAUUUUAUCAAUAAAGUAUUGCACAUUGUAUUGCAUCAUGUCAAAUGGCCUUUAGCUGAACUUCAUCUGUGUAUGUUUUUUAUCAAUAAAUAUCGCGUCUUGCAUUGCAUUUCACGUUUUCUUUAAUCAUAUUAAGUAGCCUUAAGAAGAGUAGUUGAUUGUCGCCUUAAACAGUGACUGGUAUACAAACAAGAAUUUGACGACUUUAGAAAUUGAACGAUUCACUCUACAUUUCCUAUUUAAAUGAUAUUUCUCACGCUUUGGAAGAAUAUUUGUAUUAUUUCGAUCCAAUUUAUUCCAUCAAAGUUUCAGUAGAAGAAGAGCUAGCAAUAAAUCUUCAAAUUUCAUUUGAAAAGUCAAGCUCAACAAUAGAAAUCAAUUCUGACAAUCCCCUAUAUUCAGGGUGAGCUGCUACUCGAAAAUUUUGAAAGGCAAGAAUUUCUUUAUCUUUGUAUAAAUUAUGAUAUGAAGAGAAGAUGUUGGAGGAAAUGGAAAUAUUAGGAAAAACUAUAAGGCUAAAAUUGAAGAAGUGGAAAACAAGCAUUGAAAAAAUAUAGAAGCCAAUUUUCUUCACUUUGUAUUACAAGCACCUUUGCUAUAUACAGGGUGUCUCACGACGAGUUAAAACGAAAUCAUGAAAAUUUGUACGUUUGGGUUUUCGGAUACCAUCUUUUCAACUAAAGUAUCUUCAAAGAUGGCCAGCUUCCGGUUAUACCAACUGUAGCUUUGUUAUUUUAAAUGGAAAUUUACGAAGAAUUUUAGUAUACUUUUGUCCGAAAACUGUUUUCGAAAAAUACAUACUUUUUUAAUUAUUAGUUAUUUUUUGUAAAAAAAUUGUACGUUGCAGACUCUAUAAAUUAUUUUUUUACGAGGAUGCCCUUAAAGAUAUGAAAAUGGUUUCUGUUGGGUUGCUUUUAGCAAAGCCAGAUAUAUUUGAAUCUAUGUUGAAAAUUUUUUCAUUCUACACAGGAUGUGUAUAAAAAGUGUUCAAAUUAUUAUAUCUGCUAUAUAUAGUUCUGAAACAUUCCCAUAUUCUUUUAAUGCUGAGAGGUUAAAAGUACUGCAUACUGGUCAAAGUCAAAAAGUUUUCGUGCAUAUCGGGGAUUUUAGGCUGUCGGACAAUUUAAAAAAGAUUUUUUUUUAUUUUUUAUCCAUUUCAAUACUUAACCAACCUAGCAUAUUUGUAUCAAGUCCUUGUUAUCAUUGAAUAUCAAAAACAGAUGGUUAGCUCCAAUCCAAUAAUAUUUCUGAAAGAAAUUUUUUAACCAUUUAAACUAAGUAACUAUAUUUCCACCUUUCCACUAUAUUUAUUUUCAAUCUUUGGUGCUUUGAUAUUUUAGUUCAUUUUAAGCAACAAAUUCUCUUUGGAAAACAAUACAAAGAUACAAAAUUUUAUGUUCGCUGGUAUUAACGCCCAAAAUCAGUAUUCUUUAUUAAAAUAAUAUUAACUUACGUUUAUAUAUUAUUUGUUAUCAUUUAGAUCGAAUUAUCAAUUCCGCUUUGUCGAUGAUGAGCUUCUCAUUAUACUAAAUCACCAAUAUCAUUGGUUUAUUUAAACAUGACUUUUUUUAUUCGUAUAAUAGAACGUCAGGAAAGGAAACUUGAAAUAUAUAUUCAAUUAAGAAAUCACAGACACAAAAAAUGAUAUUAGAAAGUUAUUUCCACAAAUAGAUAAUUGUUUAUUAAGAGAUAACCAAGCUAUUCAAUUAACAUAAACAUUUACUAUUAUUGAAGAUGAAACAAUAUGUCUUAUUUGUCAUAUUUUCUUCAUUAUAACCGAAUGUCAAAAAUAUUGAAUAAAUUUGGUUAAUAUUUUAUACAGGGUUUUUUUAUAAAUGUUUCUAAUAGCAUUAUGGCGAGCACAAACCUAUAAAAGCUGCUGCCAGAGUAAAAAAAGUUAGUGAUGUAAAUAGUUUUAUAACAUUAGCCGAUGUAUUAUUGUACUGAUAUAUUAACAACCUUAUUGUAAUUAAUGAGAAUUUUAUUUCUUAGAAUUGUUGAUAGUCAAAAAUGUUAUUAUUAUUAUAUUGUAGAGAAUAAAUCGAUUAUGUGAUAA